UACGGGGGGAGCAAGCGUUGUUCGGAUUUACUGGGCGUAAAGGGCGCGUAGGCGGCCACCGCAAGUCAGUUGUGAAAUCUCUGGGCUUAACCCAGAACGGUCAGCUGAUACUGCGGGGCUAGAGUGCAGAAGGGGCAACUGGAAUUCCAGGUGUAGCGGUGAAAUGCGUAGAUAUCUGGAGGAACACCGGUGGCGAAGGCGGCAUCCUGGACCGGUAUUGACGCUGAGGCGCGAAAGCGUGGGGAGCGAACAGG
rnacentral:rRNA from 1 species